rnacentral:rRNA from 1 species
GACGAACGCUGGCGGCGUGCUUAACACAUGCAAGUCGAACGGAAAGGCCCUGCUUUUGUGGGGUGCUCGAGUGGCGAACGGGUGAGUAACACGUGAGUAACCUGCCCUUGACUUUGGGAUAACUUCAGGAAACUGGGGCUAAUACCGGAUAGGAGCUCCUGCUGCAUGGUGGGGGUUGGAAAGUUUCGGCGGUUGGGGAUGGACUCGCGGCUUAUCAGCUUGUUGGUGGGGUAGUGGCUUACCAAGGCUUUGACGGGUAGCCGGCCUGAGAGGGUGACCGGGCACAUUGGGACUGAGAUACGGACCAGAGUGCAACGGGAGGCAGCAGUGGGGAAUAUUGCACAAUGGGCGGAAGCCUGAUGCAGCAACGCCGCGUGCGGGAUGACGGCCUUCGGGUUGUAAACCGCUUUCGCCUGUGACGAAGAGUGAGUGACGGUAAUGGGUAAAGAAGCACCGGCUAACUACGUG